rnacentral:rRNA from 1 species
AACUAACUCUUUCUUCAUGCCUAACACAUGCAAGUCGAACGAGACCUUCGGGUCUAGUGGCGCACGGGUGCGUAACGCGUGGGAACCUGCCCUUAGGUUCGGAAUAACUCCCCGAAAGGGGUGCUAAUACCGGAUAAUGUCUUCGGACCAAAGAUUUAUCGCCUUUGGAUGGGCCCGCGUUGGAUUAGCUAGUUGGUAGGGUAAAAGCCUACCAAGGCGACGAUCCAUAGCUGGUCUGAGAGGAUGAUCAGCCACACUGGGACUGAGACACGGCCCAGACUCCUACGGGAGGCAGCAGUGGGGAAUAUUGGACAAUGGGCGAAAGCCUGAUCCAGCAAUGCCGCGUGAGUGAUGAAGGCCUUAGGGUUGUAAAGCUCUUUUACCCGGGAUGAUAAUGACAGUACCGGGAGAAUAAGCUCCGGCUAACUCCGUG